GGCUAACGCUGGCGGCGUGUCUUAGCCAUGCAAGUCGAGCGGGCCUGUGGGUUUACCUACAGGUCAGCGGCGGACGGCGGAGUAACACGUAGCUAACCUACCCCCUGGACGAGGAUAACCACCCGAAAGGGUGGCUAAUACCCGAUGUAGUCCCUAUCUGAGAUGGUAGGGAUGAAAGGUGGGCCCCUGCGAAAGCAAGCUCAUGCCAGGGGAGGGGGCUGCGGCCUAUCAGGUAGUUGGUGGGGUAACGGCCCACCAAGCCUAUGACGGGUAGCCGGCCUGAGAGGGUGACCGGCCCGAGGGACACUGAGACACGGCCCAGACUCCUACGGGAGGCAGCAUG
rnacentral:rRNA from 1 species